UACAGAGGUCUCAAGCGUUGUUCGGAUUCAUUGGGCGUAAAGGGUGCGUAGGCGGCGCGGUAAGUCGGGUGUGAAAUCUCGGGCUUAACUCCGAAACUGUAUUCGAUACUGCCGUGCUUGAGGACUGGAGAGGAGACGUGGAAAUUUACGGUGUAGCGGUGAAAUGCGCAGAUAUCAAGGAGGAACACCAAUGGCGAAGGCAGCUCGCUGAACGGUACU
rnacentral:rRNA from 1 species